CUAAAUGGGGAGCUGGUAGUGCCCUGUAACCUGAGAUCUACCAUAGCAGGAUUGACCGCACUUCUAGGGGUAUGGUAUGGAAGGUUGCACCAAGCAAGCAGUGUUGAUAUUAAGGUCCCAAGCAAUAGAACUUUGUGAACCGUGUCAGAGCCUGACCGCAGCAGCACUAAACAAAAUCUUCUAUGUGCCUUGGGGUAGCUUUAAAGGAGCCGGCUACUUGGUUACCAC
rnacentral:SRP_RNA from 1 species